UCCCUGGUGGCUCAGAGGUUAAAGCGUCUGCCUUCAAUGCGGGAGACCCGGGUUUGAUCCCUGGGUCGGGAA
rnacentral:tRNA from 1 species